rnacentral:misc_RNA from 1 species
GCGUCCCCUUCGAGCGCGGCAUGCCUCGGUCUUGGGCUGCGCUGUAAUUGGCGGGUCCUAAUCCCAGCGGUGGGUCCUGGCGGCACCGGGUGAGGAACACAUCACCUCGCAGGCCCGGGCACCGCCCGCGACUGACCGGAACCCCCUCUCCGAU